AGCAUAAUAUGAUUUGGGAAAGAGAGAACUACCUUUACAGGGUAGAGGUCGGGGGUUCGAACCCCUCUCGGGUCACCA
rnacentral:tRNA from 1 species